rnacentral:lncRNA from 1 species
UGAUGGUUGAUUGGUGAGGACUUCUGUGGCUUAUCGGGAAAGUGUUCCCUUGUAUCAUAUUUUAUUGUUGGUUUGUUUCCGGCCAAGUGUGGCCGUGUUUUUAUGUAGUGGGACUGGCCGUGUGUUGCUUUGAAUCCCUGCCGUUUACCGGCCUUUGUGUAAUUCGUACUCUUUAUAAGAAAAAGGUUUCGAGAAUGUUUGGGUUUUUGUUAAGUGUAGGAGAAGGAUUCGAGUUGUCAUCUCGCUCCUUAUCCUUUUUGUGGAUCGUCCUGUUUGUUGCUCGUCUGAGAUGUUUAUGAAAUUCUCAAAUUUUCGAGGGCGUUUAGAUGUGGACGAAGAGACAUGGUUUCAGGAUCUCGUAUCUUUUCGAUAUCAUGCACUGAGACGUUAGAGACCAGUGUGUUGGGUUUAGGGUAAGACCUUGGUCUAAUCACGGCUUUAGGGGGUGCGAUGACUACUUCAACUUACAUUUCCCGUAUUGUUUUCGACCUGAUUCUGUCCGCUUUAAAGUCCGCGAUAUGUUUUCGGCUUAUGCGAUUUGUAUGGUAGGAAUUGAGCAUCUCUUCGAGGACAAUUUUUAAGUCUCCUAAAAGUGCUGACCAAAAUUUCAUAUUUCUUUUAUAGCGCGUUAUUUUAUCCUAGUCGGAUGUAAGAGGACAUAUCCUUAGGAUAA